UACGUAGGGUGCGAGCGUUGUCCGGAAUUAUUGGGCGUAAAGGGCUCGUAGGCGGUUUGUCGCGUCGGGAGUGAAAACACUGGGCUUAACUCAGUGCUGGCUUUCGAUACGGGCAGACUAGAGGCAUGCAGGGGAGAACGGAAUUCCUGGUGUAGCGGUGAAAUGCGCAGAUAUCAGGAGGAACACCCGUGGCGAAGGCGGCUCUCUGGGACGGUACUGACGCUGAGACGCGAAAGCGUGGGGAGCGAACAGG
rnacentral:rRNA from 1 species